rnacentral:tRNA from 1 species
AGAGUAUAGCUCAGUGGUAGAGCGCAUGCCUAGCAUGCACAAGGUCCUGGGUUCAAUCCCCACUACCUCUA